rnacentral:rRNA from 1 species
GGCUUAACACAUGCAAGUCGAGGGGCAUCAGGAAGAAAGCUUGCUUUCUUUGCUGGCGACCGGCGCACGGGUGAGUAACACGUAUCCAACCUGCCCUUUACUCGGGGAUAGCCUUUCGAAAGAAAGAUUAAUACCCGAUAGCAUAAUGAUUCCGCAUGGUUUCAUUAUUAAAGGAUUCCGGUAAAGGAUGGGGAUGCGUUCCAUUAGGUUGUUGGUGAGGUAACGGCCCACCAAGCCUUCGAUGGAUAGGGGUUCUGAGAGGAAGGUCCCCCACAUUGGAACUGAGACACGGUCCAAACUCCUACGGGAGGCAGCAGUGAGGAAUAUUGGUCAAUGGGCGCUAGCCUGAACCAGCCAAGUAGCGUGAAGGAUGAAGGCUCUAUGGGUCGUAAACUUCUUUUAUAUAAGAAUAAAGUGCAGUAUGUAUACUGUUUUGUAUGUAUUAUAUGAAUAAGGAUCGGCUAACUCCGUGCCAGCAGCCGCGGUAAUACGGAGGAUCCGAGCGUUAUCCGGAUUUAUUGGGUUUAAAGGGAGCGUAGGUGGACUGGUAAGUCAGUUGUGAAAGUUUGCGGCUCAACCGUAAAAUUGCAGUUGAUACUGUCAGUCUUGAGUACAGUAGAGGUGGGCGGAAUUCGUGGUGUAGCGGUGAAAUGCUUAGAUAUCACGAAGAACUCCGAUUGCGAAGGCAGCUCACUGGACUGCAACUGACACUGAUGCUCGAAAGUGUGGGUAUCAAACAGGAUUAGAUACCCUGGUAGUCCACACAGUAAACGAUGAAUACUCGCUGUUUGCGAUAUACAGUAAGCGGCCAAGCGAAAGCAUUAAGUAUUCCACCUGGGGAGUACGCCGGCAACGGUGAAACUCAAAGGAAUUGACGGGGGCCCGCACAAGCGGAGGAACAUGUGGUUUAAUUCGAUGAUACGCGAGGAACCUUACCCGGGCUUAAAUUGCAGUGGAAUGAUGUGGAAACAUGUCAGUGAGCAAUCACCGCUGUGAAGGUGCUGCAUGGUUGUCGUCAGCUCGUGCCGUGAGGUGUCGGCUUAAGUGCCAUAACGAGCGCAACCCUUAUCUUUAGCUACUAACAGGUUAUGCUGAGGACUCUAGAGAGACUGCCGUCGUAAGAUGUGAGGAAGGUGGGGAUGACGUCAAAUCAGCACGGCCCUUACGUCCGGGGCUACACACGUGUUACAAUGGGGGGUACAGGAGGCAGCUAGCGGGUGACCGUAUGCUAAUCCCAAAAUCCUCUCUCAGUUCGGAUCGAAGUCUGCAACCCGACUUCGUGAAGCUGGAUUCGCUAGUAAUCGCGCAUCAGCCACGGCGCGGUGAAUACGUUCCCGGGCCUUGUACACACCGCCCGUCAAGCCAUGGGAGCCGGGGGUACCUGAAGUACGUAACCGCAAGGAUCGUCCUAGGGUAAAACUGGUGACUGGGGCUAAG